rnacentral:lncRNA from 1 species
ACCAUGAGACUCAGCUCCUGGAGGACAGAGCCCUCUGAUUCAUGUCUGCAGCCCAGCUCCUGGCUCAGGGCCUUCAGGAAGUGUUGAUUUGGUGAGGGGGGUGCAAAACCUGCCAGAAGUGGGGGCAUCCAGGCUUGAGCCCCACAGUGGAGAAUGAGGGCAGGCGGGCCAGGGCAGAUCCAAGAUAAUUCAGAACACAGGAUCUCUUGUAUGUUCUCCUAGGUUCUUAGUCAAAAGCCCCUUUUCACUGGUUCUGACCUUGCCUCAGCUGAAAUCAACAUGGGAUGGCUCAGCUGAAACCAACAUGGGGUGGCUUCAGGCCAUCCCAGGCAUUCAGAGGGUUCGUUUAAUGACAUUCACUGAGGCCCUGUCUAUGUCAGGCCCUUGGUGUUGAAGACGCAAUCAUGAACAAAAAUGAAAAUACAAUGUGAUGGUCUCCUGAGUGUCUGAAUGCGCCAGGUGGCUAAGUGCUGGGGCUCUGGGGUCAGGCUGCCUGGGUCACAUCCUGGCUCCAAACUGCUUUGCUAUGGCUUCGGGCAGUUA